UACAGAGGGUGCAAACGUUGCUCGGAAUCAUUGGGCGUAAAGCGCACGUAGGCGGUCCAGCAAGCGGGGAGUGAAAGCCCUCGGCUUAACCGAGGAAGUGCUUUCCGUACUACUGGACUUGAGUACUGAAGAGGGUCGCGGAAUUCCCGGUGUAGAGGUGAAAUUCGUAGAUAUCGGGAGGAACACCAGUGGCGAAGGCGGCGACCUGGGCAGAUACUGACGCUGAGGUGCGAAAGCGUGGGGAGCAAACAGG
rnacentral:rRNA from 1 species